rnacentral:rRNA from 1 species
AGAGUUUGAUCCUGGCUCAGGAUGAACGCUAGCGACAGGCUUAACACAUGCAAGUCGAGGGGCAGCGAGGGCGUAGCAAUACGCCUGUCGGCGACCGGCGCACUGGUGAGUAACACGUAUGCGACCUGCCCCCUACAGGGGUAUAACCCGUAGAAAUGCGGACUAAUCCCCCAUAGUCCUGGAGGCUGCAUGGCUUUCAGGGGAAAGGCCAGCCGGUAGGGGAUGGGCAUGCGGCGCAUUAGCUAGUUGGCGGGGCAACGGCCCACCAAGGCGACGAUGCGUAGGGGUUCUGAGAGGAAGGUCCCCCACACUGGUACUGAGACACGGACCAGACUCCUACGGGAGGCAGCAGUGAGGAAUAUUGGUCAAUGAGCGCAGGCCUGAACCAGCCAAGUCGCGUGAGGGAUGACGGUCCUACGGAUUGUAAACCUCUUUUGUCGGGGAGUAACGUGCGGGACGUGUCCCGUAUUGAGAGUACCCGAAGAAAAAGCAUCGGCUAACUCCGUGCCAGCAGCCGCGGUAAUACGGAGGAUGCGAGCGUUAUCCGGAUUUAUUGGGUUUAAAGGGUGCGCAGGCGGCGCGCCAAGUCAGCGGUCAAAGUUCCGGGCUCAACCCGGUGUCGCCGUUGAAACUGGCGUGCUCGAGUGCGUGCGAGGAAGGCGGAAUGCGUUGUGUAGCGGUGAAAUGCAUAGAUAUGACGCAGAACUCCGAUUGCGAAGGCAGCUUUCCAGCGCGCUACUGACGCUGAGGCACGAAAGCGUGGGGAUCGAACAGGAUUAGAUACCCUGGUAGUCCACGCAGUAAACGAUGAA